UCUCCUCUCUUGUUCCAGAGGUGUUGCAUUCCUCUCCUGGGACCCUGUGAACAUUUGGAUCCUGUGAACACUGGUGCUAUGUCAGAGCCAGGGGACUCAAUGGAAGUUGGGAGGCUGGCCACUGAAAUGUGAUUAGGCCGAAGAUGAAGGGCAAGGCUGAUGGGCAGAUUUCCGCACCAAAAAGUCUGGGCUGAACACUGGCACUGAAUUCCGCUACUUGGGCAGGGGCCUGCUGAUCGAUGAUGCACAGAGAGACAAAGAAAGGAGAAAAGUGAUCCCAGGAGGUGAUUUGGUGAGAAGUGGACUUCCCCUUCAAACCAGGCUUUAGAAUUUUGUCAUUUUCACUCACAUCACUCUCAACCCUGCUCACGACAGAUGCAGAGAGGAGCAUCAUUGGUGAAGCUCUGCAGCUAAGACAGCUCUCUGUCCCUGAAGAGAGGCUCACAGCCACCUGACUCCAUGGAGAGAAGGAUGACAUCAGGAAGAUGGCACAGCCACUGAACAGGCAAGGGGGGAAGGGCAAAGCUCAAGCAGGGAGGGCAAAACAAACAUUUAAAAGACAGAGUGAAACUGAGUCCCAAAUAAUGAGGCAGAACGGCAGACUGCUGGGAGCAAAGUGUGGCAGGCAAUGAGGGGAAGGGAGCGAAGUCAUUAGGGAAAUGGGAAGUCCAACUGGAAGAUUGGAAAACAGCAAGGAGAGCUUCAAAUGGAGAAUACAUCGGCCCAGAAAAGGAUGGACUUUAUGGACGCAGCAUGGAACGGGGAGGUUGCUGACUUCUCUCGGCUCUCCCGCCCCAUCCUCUCCCUCCCACAUCAGAGAGAUCACAGCUUUCCCCACUUCAUAGCUCUCCUAAAAUCCUACCUCCUCCAACCAGGCUGCCCUGAUUUCUCUCCCAGUCCCCAAUCCAAAUCACCCCUUCAGCCAACUCUAGGAUUUAUAAAGUUAUUUACAAUCCCCAUAA